GAUGAACGCUAGCUACAGGCUUAACACAUGCAAGUCGAGGGGCAUCAGGAAGAAAGCUUGCUUUCUUUGCUGGCGACCGGCGCACGGGUGAGUAACACGUAUCCAACCUGCCCUUUACUCGGGGAUAGCCUUUCGAAAGAAAGAUUAAUACCCGAUGGCAUAAUGAUUCCGCAUGGUUUCAUUAUUAAAGGAUUCCGGUAAAGGAUGGGGAUGCGUUCCAUUAGGUUGUUGGUGAGGUAACGGCUCACCAAGCCUUCGAUGGAUAGGGGUUCUGAGAGGAAGGUCCCCCACAUUGGAACUGAGACACGGUCCAAACUCCUACGGGAGGCAGCAGUGAGGAAUAUUGGUCAAUGGGCGCUAGCCUGAACCAGCCAAGUAGCGUGAAGGAUGAAGGCUCUAUGGGUCGUAAACUUCUUUUAUAUAAGAAUAAAGUGCAGUAUGUAUACUGUUUUGUAUGUAUUAUAUGAAUAAGGAUCGGCUAACUCCGUGCCAGCAGCCGCGGUAAUACGGAGGAUCCGAGCGUUAUCCGGAUUUAUUGGGUUUAAAGGGAGCGUAGGUGGACUGGUAAGUCAGUUGUGAAAGUUUGCGGCUCAACCGUAAAAUUGCAGUUGAUACUGUCAGUCUUGAGUACAGUAGAGGUGGGCGGAAUUCGUGGUGUAGCGGUGAAAUGCUUAGAUAUCACGAAGAACUCCGAUUGCGAAGGCAGCUCACUGGACUGCAACUGACACUGAUGCUCGAAAGUGUGNGUAUCAAACAGG
rnacentral:rRNA from 1 species